rfam:Hordeum vulgare subsp. vulgare, WGS project CAJW01000000 data, contig: morex_contig_107031
GAUGUACUCCCUUCGUUCGGAAAUACUUGUCGUAAAAGUAGAUGUAUCUAGACUUAUUUUAGUUAUAGAUAUAUCUAUUUUGUACAUUUCUAGAACAAGUAUUUCCGGACGAAGGAAAUAUAAU